CGAACGAUCAGACAAAAAAAAGACGGCUCGGGCUUGCAGACAGAUCCCGGUGCUUCUGAAAACAGCCGACUGGCCACAAAGCUGACUCAUCUCCCUGCCUCUGCGCAAGAAUUAAGCAGGAAACCGCCUGAAAAAUUAUCAGGGGAAGAGCACAGAGCUUCCAAACCACCUUCCCAACAUAGAAGCCUGUCAGCAAGCUGAUCACUGUUACCGAAUCCAGAGGUGCUCUGCAAUCCAGUUUGCACAAGUCUCAGGGAGCAGCACGAAGGGGAAGCUUUGAUGGCAACCACAACACAGAACCCGUUAAUGUGUCUAAAUGGAAUUCAAAUGAUGAUUUGGGCUCUUGAGCGUGCUGACCCAGGGCUGAGCAAGAAGGCAGGUAGGCAAGAAAAGAGAGGAAAAGCUGAUGGGUGAGGGGAAGAGCUGUCAGGAAAAGAAAAAAAGCUUACCCCAAUCCAAAAUGCAUUCUUUUAAAAAAAAAUGUGUUAACUGUUGUUCUGCUAGGUAACUCCUUUGAAUUUUUGUUUGUUUGUUUGUUUCUUUUUAGGCAAUUGGGGUUAAGUGACUUGUCCAGGGUCACACGGCUAAUAAGUGUCAAGUGUUUGGUCUGAGGCCAGAUUUGAAUUCAGGCACUCCUGACUUCAGGGCUCUAUCUACUGCGCCACCUAGCUGCCCCCAACUCCUUUGAAUUUUAAAACUGAGAAAGAAAUCCAAUUAAUUUUUUUUUAAAGCCUUUUCUUUAUCAUGUAAACCAAGGAAACCUCUUGGCUAAGAAGGCAAGAUAUGGAAUAAAAUGAAAGUAAA
rnacentral:lncRNA from 1 species